GAUGAAGAACGCAGCGAAAUGCGAUAAGUAAUGUGAAUUGCAGAAUUCAGUGAAUCAUCGAAUCUUUGAACGCACAUUGCGCCCGCCAGUAUUCUGGCGGGCAUGCCUGUCUGAGCGUCAUUUCAACCCUCAUGCCCCUAGGGCGUGGUGUUGGGGAUCGGCCAAAGCCCGCGAGGGACAGCCGGCCCCUAAAUCUAGUGGCGGACCCGUCGUGGCCUCCUCUGCGAAGUAGUGAUAUUCCGCAUCGGAGAGCGAUGAGCCCCUGCCGUUAAACCCCCAACUUUCCAAGGUUGACCUCAGAUCAGGUAGGAAUACCCGCUGAACUUAAGCAUAUCAAUAAGCGGAGGA
rnacentral:misc_RNA from 1 species